rnacentral:rRNA from 1 species
GAUGAACGCUGGCGGCGUGCCUAAUACAUGCAAGUCGAGCGAACGGACGAGAAGCUUGCUUCUCUGAUGUUAGCGGCGGACGGGUGAGUAACACGUGGAUAACCUACCUAUAAGACUGGGAUAACUUCGGGAAACCGGAGCUAAUACCGGAUAAUAUUUUGAACCGCAUGGUUCAAAAGUGAAAGACGGUCUUGCUGUCACUUAUAGAUGGAUCCGCGCUGCAUUAGCUAGUUGGUAAGGUAACGGCUUACCAAGGCAACGAUGCAUAGCCGACCUGAGAGGGUGAUCGGCCACACUGGAACUGAGACACGGUCCAGACUCCUACGGGAGGCAGCAGUAGGGAAUCUUGCGCAAAGGGCGAAGGCCUGACGGAGCAACGCCGCGUGAGUGAUGAAGGUCUUCGGAUCGUAAAACUCUGUUAUUAGGGAAGAACAUAUGUGUAAGUAACUGUGCACAUCUUGACGGUACCUAAUCAGAAAGCCACGGCUAACUACGUG